rnacentral:rRNA from 1 species
GAUAAACGCUGGCGGCGUGCCUAACACAUGCAAGUCGAACGAUCCCGCAAGGGAGAGUGGCGGAAGGGUGAGUAACACGUGGGAAUCUACCUCCUCGCAGGGGAACAACCUCUCGAAAGAGAGGCUAAUACCCAAAGGGUCAGAAAUGAUCAGAGUCGAAAGGCGUGAGGAGAGGAGCCCGCGGCCCAUCAGCUAGUUGGUGAGGUAAUGGGCUUACCAAGGCUACGACGGGUAGGGGAUCUGAGAGGAUGUCCCCCACACUGGAACUGAAACACGGUCCAGACGCCUACGGGUGGCAGCAGUGAGGAAUAUUGGACAAUGGGCGAAAGCCCGAUCCAGCAACGCCGCGUGGAGGAUGAAGGCCUUCGGGUCGUAAACUUCUUUAGAGGGAGACGAGAAAGGACGGUAUCCCUAGAAUAAGCGACGGCAAACUACGUGCCAGCAGCCGCGGUAAU